GUUCAAACUCUCCGUUUUAAUUUCAGUCUGAACCAACCAACACAGAGCAACGAGUGUAAUGAUGCAUCCAACUCUUCCCCUUCCUUCCCUAAAGCAAUGCACGGUGUGCUGCUGCAAAUGUCAUUGCAUCUUUGGAAAAUGGUAUUUGUGGAAUCUUUCAAGAUUAAGAACCAUGUACAGAAUGAGCCUGAGCAUCAAGUUCAUCACUAACAGAUCCAGACGUGGUGAAGGCAUCUGAAACCGAGCCCACCCUAAAAGAGCCGGACAAGGUGAAAGUAUAUGACUUGGCAGAUCACUGAUCCCCUGUUGUGAGAGACACUCUGGUGGCCUGGACGAGGGUUGAGGAAAACAAGCACCACUUUGCUGGGAGGAUCGCUCCAGGGUCAGAAUGGAUGAUGAAGUCGAGAUGGCCAUCACAUAGCAGGACCUCAUUAUGAAUUCUGAUUUUGAUGACACAGAGGAAGAUGAGAUUUCUCUUCCUUUUUACAUUUGAUGAAAAAGAGGACAUAGAGUUUCUGGUGCAGGAAAUCCUGGACAAGCAAAAGAGUCGGGUUUCUAGCAUGUACAAUCUUGAUCUGUAACAUGAAAUAAAAUAAGUCUCCAUUG